CUAAUACUCCCUCCGUCCGAAAAUACUUGUCAUCAAAAUAAAUAAAAGGAGAUGUAUCUAGAUGUAUUUUAGUUUUACAUACAUCCCUUUUUGUCCAUUUUGAUGACAAGUAUUUCCGGACGGAGGGAGUAUGUU
rnacentral:pre_miRNA from 1 species